rnacentral:rRNA from 1 species
UACGUAGGGUGCGAGCGUUAACCGGAAUUACUGGGCGUAAAGCGUGCGCAGGCGGCGCGUUAAGACAGGUGUGAAAGCCCCGAGCUUAACUUGGGAAUUGCGCUUGUGACUGGCGAGCUGGAGUGUGGCAGAGGGAGGUGGAAUUCCACGUGUAGCAGUGAAAUGCGUAGAGAUGUGGAGGAACACCGAUGGCGAAGGCAGCCUCCUGGGCCAGCACUGACGCUCAUGCACGAAAGCGUGGGGAGCAAACAGG